AAGCACUCCUCAAGAUGAGAUCUCCCAAGACCGCGAGGUCUAAGAAGGGCCCAGGAAGACUACCUGGUUGAUAGGCAGGAUGUGGAAGCGGAGUGAUCCGUGAAGCUUACCUGUACUAAUCGCCCGUUCGGCUUGACCAUAAAA
rnacentral:rRNA from 1 species